rnacentral:rRNA from 1 species
UACAGAGACUGCAAGCGUUAUUCGGAUUCACUGGGCGUAAAGGGUGCGCAGGCGGCCAAGUGUGUUAGGCGUGAAAGCCUGGGGCUUAACCCCAGAAUUGCACCUAAAACUACAUGGCUAGAGCAUUGGAGAGGGAUGCAGAAUUCCAGGUGUAGCGGUGAAAUGCGUAGAUAUCUGGAGGAAUACCGGUGGCGAAGGCGGCAUCCUGGACCGACAUUGACGCUGAGGAGCGAAAGCCAGGGGAGCAAACGGG